GUUAGGCUCUCAAAAGAUGAAGGAGCCUCAACAUUUCUUUGAUAUGUUCAAAAUGAAAUAAUUAUAAUUCAAGAUGGGGGGUGCUAGGAAGAGGGGGAACAUAUUGCACCCAUUCAAAUCUAACUUUGUUCCCCAAACUGGAAGAUUGGAUUUUCUUUAUUAAAUUAUCUCUCUUGUUCACACACUCAAGGGGGCCAUUGGCUGUAGGCGCUGAAAGAAGGAGAUGAGGGGGAGCGAGAAAAGCAAGCGAGGGGGGAAAAGAAUCUCGUCUGGUUUGUUGGAUGCGAAGCUGGCAUAAUGCUGGUUUGGGGAGGAGAAUGAAAUGUUUUGUUCUGCUGAUGCCCUUCUCUGAGAAGGGUUCUGAAGAGGGACAGAUGUGUUUGUAUUCCAGGAAUUAUCAUUUCACUACACGGUCACCGCAUGUCUGAACAGUGCAAAGCACGGCUGUAGCGUAGGGGUAAGUAGAAAAAUAUAACCACAUGGGCCUCCACUGCUUGUCAAAGCUAAAGAGGAGAAACUAACAGAGGCUUCAGUUUGCUGGCUAAUUGGGCCCUGGUGGCUGACACCGUAGACUCAUGAGCAAAACAAACAUCAUUUCAAUAUCUCCACAACUGGACCCUUUAAACCAUGAUCACAGAGCAAAGUGGUUCCAACGCAAGACCACAUCUAAUUAAUCUGAGUCAGGAGCUCUAAAUGAAGGUAAAUCUUUUUACAUCAAUGGUUAGUUCAAUUACUAUGUGCGCAGUGGCACACUUUAGAUCUGGAGGACAGUUCAUAUGGCUGUAAUUAGCAGGCCUUGUUAAUGAAAGAGGAGGCAAAGCUUGCCCAGAGAUGGACUGUACUAUCUGUGGCAGUGGGCAGUGACCUUUGUAAACUUCAGUCUCCAAUUAUAAUUGAAAAAAGUUGAUUUUUGGUGUAAAACAAAGACAUUUUUACACAGUAAGGAAAGACAAAUGUAACAAUUAUUUUCACCAGAGAUGAGACCAACCCCUUCAGUAAUUGGAAAAAAAAGGGAACAGACCAACAGAGAAUAUUCUUUGCAUGCAACUUUCCAUAAAUGAGUAUAUUCUACACUGAAAACAUGAUAACCGGCAAAUGAUACCUUAAUUUGUUUUCUAAAAUGAUCUAACCCAUAAAAUGACAUAAAAUAACAUUUUUUGGCAUAAUUUUUGCAACAUAAAGCACAUACAUUUUUAAUGUGACCUAAAAAUAUAUAUAUAUAUUUUUGUAAAUUCUUACCUUUUGUAACUAUAUAGUUAGCCCUGUUUCAUACAGCACACAAAUGAAGCAAGUAAGCCCUAUUUUUAAUAUUUUCAAGAUUUGUAAAACAAGUUGAACAGAAAAAUAGAAUCAUACAAGCAACACUUUCUGACUGAAUUUAAAUGAUUUAAGCCAUUUAUUUUUGGGGUUUCAUUUGGUCUAAAAUGUAUAAUUUAUGGCUGAAAAUAUUUGCUUUAUUUUUAUUUUAUUUUAUUGAGCUGCAGUUCUGCUACAUAGUAAAACCUCUGUCAGUUUGAAAGUGCUAAUGUUACUUCUGCAGUUACACUGUUGCUUACAAACUGCUUGUGCUGCGUUGCAUGAACCGGACUGAAUUGUAAAAAGCAAUCAAUCCGAUUGUCUUUUUGAGCAAGCCUUUACCGUCCUGUGAUUUCACCCUGUCGCUUUUGUGCACUGGCACAUUCCAGAACACCAGAUAUACAUAUUCAUCUGACUCCUAUAGAAUGUGUCAAAUAGAGGUGUCCUAAUUGUGUCCUUGAUGAAAGGCUAUUAAUAUU
ensembl:lncRNA